UAAUACAGAGGGUGCAAGCGUUAAUCGGAUUUACUGGGCGUAAAGCGCGCGUAGGUGGCCAAUUAAGUCAAAUGUGAAAUCCCCGAGCUUAACUUGGGAAUUGCAUUCGAUACUGGUUGGCUAGAGUAUGGGAGAGGAUGGUAGAAUUCCAGGUGUAGCGGUGAAAUGCGUAGAGAUCUGGAGGAAUACCGAUGGCGAAGGCAGCCAUCUGGCCUAAUACUGACACUGAGGUGCGAAAGCAUGGGGAGCAAACAGG
rnacentral:rRNA from 1 species